rnacentral:piRNA from 1 species
CUGGGAGAGGAUUGUUUACGCCU